UGUGGUAUACAAGGCAUACGGCUCAGUAACGCGUAGUCAACCUAACCUAUGGACGGGAAUAACCUCGGGAAACUGAGAAUAAUGCCCGAUAGAACACUAUACCUGGAAUGGUUUGUGUUCCAAAUGAUUUAUCGCCAUAGGAUGGGACUGCGGCCUAUCAGUUUGUUGGUGAGGUAAUGGCCCACCAAGACUAUUACAGGUACGGGCUCUGAGAGGAGUAGCCCGGAGAUGGGUACUGAGACACGGACCCAGGCCCUAUGGGGCGCAGCAGGCGAGAAAACUUUGCAAUGUGCGAAAGCACGACAAGGUUAAUCCGAGUGAUUUGUGCUAAACGAAUCUUUUGUUAGUCCUAGAAACACUAACGAAUAAGGGGUGGGCAAGUUCUGGUGUCAGCCGCCGCGGUAAAACCAGCACCUCAAGUGGUCAGGAUGAUUAUUGGGCCUAAAGCAUCCGUAGCCGGCUCUGUAAGUUUUCGGUUAAAUCUGUACGCUUAACGUACAGGCUGCCGGGAAUACUGCAGAGCUAGGGAGUGAGAGAGGUAGACGGUACUCGGUAGGAAGUGGUAAAAUGCUUUGAUCUAUCGAUGACCACCUGUGGCGAAGGCGGUCUACCAGAACACGUCCGACGGUGAGGGAUGAAAGCUGGGGGGAGCAAACCGGAUUAGAUACCAGGGUAGUCCCAGCUGUCAACGUAUGCAAACUCAGUUGAUGCAUUGGCCUUUGGUGGUCUCAAUGGCCAAG
rnacentral:rRNA from 1 species